rnacentral:rRNA from 1 species
GAUGAACGCUGACAGAAUGCUUAACACAUGCAAGUCAACUUGAAUUUGGGUUUUUAACUUAGAUUUGGGUGGCGGACGGGUGAGUAACGCGUAAAGAACUUGCCUCACAGCUAGGGACAACAUUUAGAAAUGAAUGCUAAUACCUGAUAUUAUGAUUUUAAGGCAUCUUAGAAUUAUGAAAGCUAUAAGCACUGUGAGAGAGCUUUGCGUCCCAUUAGCUAGUUGGAGAGGUAACAGCUCACCAAGGCGAUGAUGGGUAGCCGGCCUGAGAGGGUGAACGGCCACAAGGGGACUGAGACACGGCCCUUACUCCUACGGGAGGCAGCAGUGGGGAAUAUUGGACAAUGGACCGAGAGUCUGAUCCAGCAAUUCUGUGUGCACGAUGAAGUUUUUCGGAAUGUAAAGUGCUUUCAGUNGGGAAGAAAGAAANGA